UUAGCUUCUGUAUGCAGCACACUCAC
rnacentral:misc_RNA from 1 species